rnacentral:rRNA from 1 species
GACGAACGCUGGCGGCGCGCUUAACACAUGCAAGUCGUGCGGUACCGAUGGCAAGUCUUCUUGACGAGCCUUCGGUAUAGCGGCGGACGGGUGAGUAACACGUGAGUAGCUGUCCUAGGGAGGGGGAUAACGCCUGGAAACGGGUGCUAAAAACCCCAUAAGCCUCGAAAGAGGUAAAAGUGCAUCACUGCAGUCCUAGGGUGUGCUCGCGGCCUAUCAGCUAGUUGGUGAGGUAAAGGCUUACCAAGCCUGCGAUCUGUAGCUGGUCUGAGAGGACGACCAGCCACACUGGGACUGAGACACGGCCCAGACUCCUACGGGAGGCAGCAGUGGGGAAUUUUGGACAAUGGACGCAAGUCUGAUCCAGCAAUACCGCGUGCAGGACGAAGGCCUUCGGGUUGUAAACUGCUUUUGUACGGAGCGAAAGACCUUCUUCUAAUACAGGAGGGUCAUGACGGUACCGUAAGAAUAAGCACCGGCUAACUACGUGCCAGCAGCCG